rnacentral:misc_RNA from 1 species
UAGCGGCCAAGCCGGGAACCUAGAAACUGAAUAAUUAAAUCGCAGUUUAACCCAAGUCAAGGAUAUAUUCAGUCUUAUAUUUACUAUUUUAUGUAUUGUUUACGUUUUUUUGUAAUAUUCCAACAAACGUUUGAGCACGUUAUGAGUACUUAGUUGUUUUAUCAUUAUAUUGAAUUCAUUAUAAUUGUCCAACAUCAUCUAUCAAUAAAAAUGUCAAACUUUAAUUUUGGUACACCUAUAACAACAGCAAAUUUGGGUUUUGGCGGAUUUUCUACGCAAAAACCGGCUACUGGAUUUGGGUUAGGAAAUUCAGCAUUCGGUACAUCUACUCCAGCAGUUACCGGGAACCUCACAUUUCCAACGACUACUACUUCUGCAGUAAAUGCACUGACAUCGAAUUUUACUUUUGGCAAUACAACUGUUAGUUCCACCUCAAAUCCAAGUGGAAGUUUUUUUUCAACUCCUGCUACUACUACUACCACAGCAGCACCAAAUUUGUUUAAUACUUCAACUACUUCAGCGGCACCAUUAUCUAAUCUAAGUUUCGGAAACUUACCGACUUCUACGAAUACAAAUUUUGGAAUUACAACUAGUACAGCGUCAACUGGUGGUUUGAAUUUUGGUGCUCCUACAACUACAGCAGCUACUACUAUCGCUACGACUACUACUUCAGCUACAUCUACUAAUAUUUCUUUAAUUGGUAAUACUCAAACUGGAGGGUUAUUUGGUGCAAAACCAUUAGGAGCAACAACUGUUACUGCUACUACAACAACGAGUGUUAAUAAAGGACUAGGAGGCUUAGAUAUUUCAACUAGCAAUAAAGGGCUAUCUCAUAGUAGUAAUAGUCCAACAGUAGCUAAAGAGAACCUCAUCCCGAAUGAACUUACUCAGACGAUUGAUAGUUUCAAAGAAUUUGUGAGAACCCAAAAAACUUUAAGUUCAGAUAUAGCAAGAGGUUCAGCAAGACCACUUAAUCGUUGUUCAGAAGAUACAACAUUAUUGAUGGAAAUGUUAACAACCUUAGCAGGAUCUGUUCAACGAGAUCGUGCUCUUGCUGAUAAACUUAAAUUUGACACAGCGAAAGCUCUUCAAAAUUCUGAAAUAGCACAAAGGACCCACGAUACUCCUGCUGGACUUCAGUAUGAAAACAAUGCUCCAUUGUUAUUUUUUAUGGAACUAGUAGAGAAUUUUGAACAAGAUUUAACGUUAUUCAGAUCACAAAUUGAAACUACAGAGAAACAUAUUCAAACUAUGAUGACACCAAGAGCAUUAACACCGCAAGAACUAACAUUGGCAAUGAGUAAAAUCCACGAAUCAUUAAUUGCGGUAGCUGGUAAAUUACAGGGAGUACAUGCUAAAGUACAACAACAAAAAGAACAGUAUCUAAAUUUAAGGAAAUAUAUUUUGAAGGAUAGUACAAACAUAUUCGAAGAAAAUAAAUCUAAUAGUAAAAACAGUCAAAGUAAUAUUGGAAAAAUUACUACAGGUCCUACUCCUUUUGGUCCAGGAAAUAAAAAUUUUUUAUCUUCAACAACAAUUAAUUCAACCCGACAACCAACUUACGGUUCUUCCAAUCCAAUUGGUCUUGCGUGGAUGUAGCGUGAAGUAAUACCGUAUAUUAUUAGCUUCGCCAAGCCGCAAGAAAUUUCUUCUAAAUCACGAAAUCUGGAGAAAUAUUACCCCAUCACAAUCAACAAUGAAUCAUUCAAUAAAUACUACAAUAAAACCACCAACUGCGAGUUUAAAUUUCAAUCCACCACUAAAUUUAACUGCUCCACUGUCAACAAAUGAAACAACGUCAAGU